UUUGAGAUUUUCUCGGCAACCUCUCUAUGGGUUCUUUCUGCAUCUGCAAAACGUCUCCGGAAGGGUUGAAAAGAAAAAGUCAAACAGGGCGAUCUUAAGGCCCUGUUGAAGAAAAAGACCUGAAGUGGGCACAAGAGGUAAAGGCAUUAGCAAUGUUGAAGAAAAGGACAAGAGAUUAGAGUUGGUGAAUAAGGGAGGAAAUCAGUUUGUGAGGAAUGAAAUGAUAUCUGAAGUUGCAGCAUUUGAGCUUCCUGGUAUUCCCUUGGCACUUUCAAAACAAGACAGAAAAUCCAGUGUAACCUUUGUUCUUGAGCAAACAUCGUUGCUCUGUGCUAAUGUUGGAAGGAGAUACCAGAUUUUAAACUCAAAUGAACAUGCAGCCUCUUGCGGAGAAAGAAUAUGAAUCCUUAUAAUUACAGACCUGACAUCAUUCAUGAGGUGCUAUGUAGAAUUACAGAUAGCCUACUCUGCAAGUCAGGUAGGAUACAAGCUAUAUAUGUGAAGACAAAUGAAGGGGUUUUGAUUACAGUUUAACCAAAUACUCACAUACCAAGGACACCACAACGUUUUAGGAAUAUGAUGGCUGAGUUAUUGCAAAAGUUCAGUGUCAAAGCUGCGAAUAAACAUGGAAAGCUUUUGCGCUUGGUUGAGAAUCCUGUAACUUAACACCUUCCAGCCAACUAGCGUA